rnacentral:rRNA from 2 species
UGCAGUCGAACGCGUUGGCCCAAUUGAUUGAUGGUGCUUGCACCUGAUUGAUUUUGGUCGCCAACGAGUGGCGGACGGGUGAGUAACACGUAGGUAACCUGCCCAGAAGCGGGGGACAACAUUUGGAAACAGAUGCUAAUACCGCAUAACAGCGUUGUUCGCAUGAACAACGCUUAAAAGAUGGCUUCUCGCUAUCACUUCUGGAUGGACCUGCGGUGCAUUAGCUUGUUGGUGGGGUAACGGCCUACCAAGGCGAUGAUGCAUAGCCGAGUUGAGAGACUGAUCGGCCACAAUGGGACUGAGACACGGCCCAUACUCCUACGGGAGGCAGCAGUAGGGAAUCUUCCACAAUGGGCGCAAGCCUGAUGGAGCAACACCGCGUGAGUGAAGAAGGGUUUCGGCUCGUAAAGCUCUGUUGUUAAAGAAGAACACGUAUGAGAGUAACUGUUCAUACGUUGACGGUAUUUAACCAGAAAGUCACGGCUAACUACGUGCCAGCAGCCGCGGUAAUACGUAGGUGGCAAGCGUUAUCCGGAUUUAUUGGGCGUAAAGAGAGUGCAGGCGGUUUUCUAAGUCUGAUGUGAAAGCCUUCGGCUUAACCGGAGAAGUGCAUCGGAAACUGGAUAACUUGAGUGCAGAAGAGGGUAGUGGAACUCCAUGUGUAGCGGUGGAAUGCGUAGAUAUAUGGAAGAACACCAGUGGCGAAGGCGGCUACCUGGUCUGCAACUGACGCUGAGACUCGAAAGCAUGGGUAGCGAACAGGAUUAGAUACCCUGGUAGUCCAUGCCGUAAACGAUGAGUGCUAGGUGUUGGAGGGUUUCCGCCCUUCAGUGCCGGAGCUAACGCAUUAAGCACUCCGCCUGGGGAGUACGACCGCAAGGUUGAAACUCAAAGGAAUUGACGGGGGCCCGCACAAGCGGUGGAGCAUGUGGUUUAAUUCGAAGCUACGCGAAGAACCUUACCAGGUCUUGACAUCUUGCGCCAACCCUAGAGAUAGGGCGUUUCCUUCGGGAACGCAAUGACAGGUGGUGCAUGGUCGUCGUCAGCUCGUGUCGUGAGAUGUUGGGUUAAGUCCCGCAACGAGCGCAACCCUUGUUACUAGUUGCCAGCAUUAAGUUGGGCACUCUAGUGAGACUGCCGGUGACAAACCGGAGGAAGGUGGGGACGACGUCAGAUCAUCAUGCCCCUUAUGACCUGGGCUACACACGUGCUACAAUGGACGGUACAACGAGUCGCGAACUCGCGAGGGCAAGCAAAUCUCUUAAAACCGUUCUCAGUUCGGACUGCAGGCUGCAACUCGCCUGCACGAAGUCGGAAUCGCUAGUAAUCGCGGAUCAGCAUGCCGCGGUGAAUACGUUCCCGGGCCUUGUACACACCGCCCGUCACACCAUGAGAGUUUGUAACACCCAAAGUCGGUGGGGUAACCUUUUAGGAGCCAGCCGCCUAA